GCCCUAACUACAGAUCUAGGAUCAGAUUACCCAACCCUAUUAUUCUAACCUUAGUUCUUAAGAGGGAGUGACUGGGAACUGACCUUGGAUCAGUGCCUAUGGGCUACUUCAUUCCAUUCUUACAUAUAGAUGUUUACAUAGCUGCUGGUGGGAAGGCACUGUUGUGCUAGUGGUCUAUGAGUGGUGGGACGCCCUCUGCUGGACUGAGGCGGUAUUGAUAAUGCUGUACUGUAUAACCCAGUAUCACGCUAUACUGAUAAGGGGAGUGAGCUGAGGUCUCACAGAUCCCUACAGUGGAGGAAGGCUGAUAAACUAACUGAUUUUAAUAAAGAAGCAAUGACAAUACUCCCCCCUCAGCAUGACAGCACUUGUAUUGGUCAGAGCCAUAUUUAAAUGUAAGCUAAACAUGGCUUUGGUAUUGGACCAAUCCCAUGGGAUAUGUAUUUUAUGACAUUCUUCUAUGCUGUGGUCCAUGGCUCCUUUUCUGACAGUCACAGUUGCUGCUACACAGCUGUACGGUGCAACCUGGAGAUGCUACGUACGAAAAGGGCAAUGAAAGCUGGAUUUCAGGAUUUCUAGCCAACUAUCGACCCACACCUGCCAUGAAUAACUAGGAAGCAUCGAGUAGCAGUGACUUUGGAAAUGGUGACUCAAGACUAUGUACUUGAAUGAAUAUGUGUGUGUGUGUGUGUGUGUGUGUGUGCUUGCAAGGUGGUUGUUCUUUUCCCUCUGUUUCCUGUCUCACUGCUCGUCUUUGAGCUUCAGAUUAUACCAUUUCCUCUCACACCUGUGACUGUGUCACGUCCUGAUCCUUCCACCCCUGCCCGUAUUUAUCUAUUCUUUUUAUUUCUCUCUCCCGCUCUCUCUCCCUCAAUGUAGGUAAGUGACUGCUUACGCUACUCCUUUCCUAUUCAACUUUGGAAAAUGAUUUGUUAUGCAUUUUAUUGUCAUGUAGUCCUCACACAUUGUGUGCAUCAGGGUAAUUGCAUCAAUGUGUUAUCCCCUACCUCAAGGGGAUUUUGUUUUGGAAAAAUAUUUAGGCUGUGUCCUCAGUCUUUCUCAGCCUGGGGUCUAGCUUACCUGUGUCAACAUGGUGACGGCGCCAGGUGUACUGACGACCCUUGUGUUAACAGGAUUGUGUGUCCACGUCACAGGAUCAUCUAGAGCCGUCUGUACCACCCGUCUGUAUUCCCUGAACUUAAACUGUGUCCUGCAGUGGGAUUGUCCACAGGCGAACGCUACCACCACCUACACCGUCCAAACUAAGACUCAGGGUGAUUCGUGGCAGGACGUGGAGAGUUGUGUGCGGUUCUCCUCCCAGCUGUGUGACCUGUCCGAGGCCUUCUCUAACUUCGAGGUGUACAACAUGAUCCGCCUGGGCCUCCACCAGGGCCCGGGGAGUCCAGCCUGGACAGAAAAUCUGGGGUUUGGCGUCCGUGAUUUCAACUUCAGCAGCCCCUCUGUCUUGGUCUCUCUGUCUGGAGAGAUGCUGGGAGUGGAGGUGCACUUACCUUGUUCUAGCAAAAGGGAGUGUCUUCCUCUGCAGAGUUGCUGUCCACUGUCAAAAUUUAUUGACCUCUGGGUCACCGUGACAGUAUAUGACCGGCAGAACCCCUCCGACUACAAGACGCAGAUUGGUUUGGUCCAGACGAUGGUGUAUGGGGCAGAGUUCUCAAACCUGGUCCCAGGACAUGACUACUGUGUCGUGGCUAACUUCUCCAUCAGUCCGGCCACCUUCCCCCAGGCCUCGUCUCCUCCCUCGGACCCCAGUUGUGUCCACCAUGCUGGCCCAGGACUAGGGUUGCAGCCAGUGUUGUUGGGGAUAGGAGUGUGUGCUGUACUCUUCUCUCCUCUCCUUGCUCUGGCUCUGUACCUGCUGAAACAAAAACGAGAUGUACCACACGUAAACAGACUCCCCAAGUCUCUAGCAUCUCUUCAGGCAUUCCUCCAGGACCUACCGGAGUCCCCUUCAGACCCUGUUGACCCCAGUGACAUUGUAGACGACCACCUCUCCAUCCUGUCCUCUUUCUCCAGCUGUGUCUACACCGAGGCCCAGGCCCCAAGCCUGGGUAAUGGGUACAACAGCAACCCCUUCCUCCGUGACUAUAGGUCAGGCAACAUGCACUGGAACACUGAGAGAAUGGAGCUGGACCUGAACUCAGGCAGCACCAUAUCCCUGCCAUGCUCCACUGUGCCUAUAGGCCUGCAUAUGAUCCAGUGCAGCUUUGAUUCACCUCGACAACCACAUCCAGGGCCCAAUGUGCCAGUUCUACCGUACCCUGGUUCUCUAUCUCUGUCAGAGGCCGUGGAGGGCCAGGUGGUCCCGUUGUGUUCUGUGAGGUUUGGGAGGGUGAGUGAUGGGUGUGAGAACCUUGAGGGACUACAGUGGUGUAACCUGUAGCAUGUUGCACUGCAGUACUCACAAUGCCAUGUUUAACAUAUUCCUAUGAACUCCACAGUGCUGAGAGGAGUUCAAAAACUUUAUUGACCAUUUUUGUUGAAAAUUGUAAUUUUUUUCCCUCAGCUUACAGACAUACAUUUUCAGUUCCAACAGGACUGUGGUAUGGUCCAGCACCUUACCAAGGUCAACCAUAACAGGGACAAUACUGGACAGUGCAAUCAUAAACACAUACACUCUUAGAAAAAAGGGUUUCAAAAGGGUUCUUCGGCUGUCCCCAUAGGAGAACCCUUUUCGGAACCAAAACUAUUCUUCCUGGAACCAAAAAGGGUUCUUCAAUGGGUUAUCCUAUGGGGACAGCCGACAAGGUUCUAGAUGGCACCUUUUUUUUUCUAAGGGGGGUUUAUUAUUCUGACUCCCCUUUAAAUUUACUUUGUCUACUGUGCCAAGUGUCUUUUCAGCUCUUUUUCUGUGUCAUAAUAGGUUGUUCUUCCCCCUCUCUCUGCCUUGCUUCUGACUCACUGUUGCCCCAUCCCAUCUCCGGCCUGACCCCCACUGUCUCUUACCCGUGUCUGACAUCUCAUUCUGGGGGAGGAGGGCAGAGGGUAGGGGAACAUCUCUCUCCUGCCUCUUGUUUCACUGGUGGUGCACUUUCCCCGGAACAUUAGAACAUUCGGGGGUAGAGACAGAGGAGACGUUGGAUGGGAAACAGUGAUUGGCCCUAUUGUUCUGGAAACCACAUAGCCUGUGUAUGGCUCAUAAUAAUAUCACUGUCUGGAGGAUUUUGAUUCAUGUAUUCAUGUUGUUGGUCUAAUAUUGGGGUUGGAUCAUGAGUCCAAACUAAGCAGUGUGUUUGCUUGCCAAUCAUAAAUGCUAAUUCUCAGGCAUCCAACAGGUAUCGCAUCUAACCUUGCACUUGGGUUUUUGGAGCAACUUUUAUGGGUUCUGCUGUAUUUGCAGUCAAUUCACCGGAAACCUGAUCCAAAAUGGUCGCUUUGUGGCUCACUCUUCACUGGUGUGUGCUGGCUAGCUCUGCAGCUGAGGUGGUGAAGUUGGAUUGGGGAUUUACGUGGUGUUUGACAGGCAGUAAAAAAUGUUGGGGGGGGCUUGCCUGUUAUGCAUGUUAUUUUGGCAUUAAAUGUCACAUCAGUUUGCAAACAAUGCAAUAAAAAUAAAUCAAUGAGUUAAUAAAGCCGC
ensembl:lncRNA